CAGUCGCCGCGGUAAUACGGAGGGUGCAAGCGUUAUCCGGAUUUAUUGGGUUUAAAGGGUCCGUAGGCGGACUUAUAAGUCAGUGGUGAAAGCCUGUCGCUUAACGAUAGAACUGCCAUUGAUACUGUAAGUCUUGAGUAUAUUUGAGGUAGCUGGAAUAAGUAGUGUAGCGGUGAAAUGCAUAGAUAUUACUUAGAACACCAAUUGCGAAGGCAGGUUACCAAGAUAUAACUGACGCUGAGGGACGAAAGCGUGGGUAGCGAACAGGAUUAGAUACCCGAGUAGUCCCUGUCUCUUAUAA
rnacentral:rRNA from 1 species